rnacentral:rRNA from 1 species
AUGCCGUCUCCGACCUCGGUCCACUGGCUGAGCCUGGUGGGAAGCGUCUGGCUGCAGACCAUCAACGGCCCCAACUCCGACUUCCCCGUCUACUCGUCGGAGCUCAAGAAGGUCAAGGGCAUCUCCCAGGUGCAGCUCAACUUCCUCGCCUUCGCCUCCGACGCCGGGAAGCUCUUCGGCUGGUUCGCCGGCGUCGCCGCGCUCUACGUCCCUCUCUGGCUCGUGGCCGUCGUUGGCGCCGCCUUCGGGCUCAUCGGCUAUGGAGUCCAGUUCCUGUUCCUGGACAGCCCCCGGCUCGCCUACUGGCACCUGUUCGCGCUCACCUCCCUCGCCGGCAACGGCAUCUGCUGGAUCAACACCGUCUGCUACCUCCUCUGCAUCAACAACUUCGCCUCCGACAGCCGCGUCGCCGUCAGCCUCGCCACCAGCUACCUCGGCCUCAGCGCCAAGUUCUAUACCACCAUGGAGGACACGCUCAAGGGGCCCCGCUACUCCCCGGCCGAGAAGUACCUGCUCCUCAAUGCCGUCGUGCCCAUGCUCGUCACCCUCCUGGUGGUGCCGUCGCUCCGGGUGGUGAAGCCCGGGAGCGGCAAAAGGACCGAGUUCGGGUUCUUCGCCAUGUUCGCCAUCACCCUGGCCACCGGAGCGUGCGCCAUCGUGGGCAGCAUAGGGUCAAAGUCCCUCGGAGUCUCGUCCAAGGAGCACUUGAUCAGCCUCUACGUGAUGCUCGCCGUCCCGAUCCUGAUCCCGGUGGCGCUCAGGAUCCGGGAGAGCAUGGCCAAGAUACGGGAGGCGGCCAACAAGAGGGUGCACAGAGUGCACGACCUCGGCGAGAACGGCAUGUGCUGGCUCAACAAGGAGAUCGAGGUGGCCACCAACGUGAAGGAGGAGGAGGAGGAGAAGGAGGCCGCCGGCGUGGAGCAGGGAGGUCAGGAGGAGGUCGGCGGCCUCGGGUUGCUACGGAGGCUCGACUUCUGGAUGUACUUCUUCAGCUACAUGUUCAGUGGCACGCUGGGUCUGGUCUUCCUCAACAACCUGGGCCAGAUCGCCGAGUCCCGCCGGCUCGGCGACCCCUCCACUCUGGUCUCCCUGUCGUCUUCGUUCGGAUUCUUCGGCCGCCUCCUUCCCGCCUUCCUGGACUACUACACUGCAAAGAGCGGCUACUCGAUAUCGAGGACGGCGUCGAUGGCGUCGCUGAUGGCGCCGAUGGCCGGCGCCUUCUUCCUGCUGAUGGACCCGAGGGACAUGCUGCUGUACACGAGCACGGCGGUGAUCGGGACGUGCACGGGCGCCAUCACCUCGGUGGCGGUGUCGGCGACGAGCGAGCUGUUCGGCACCAAGAACUUUGGGGUGAACCACAACGUGCUGGUGGCCAACAUCCCCGUGGGGUCGCUCUGCUUCGGCUACCUCGCCGGGUUCCUGUACCAGCGGGAGGCGCGCGGGGCCAACCGCUGCGACGGCCCCGCCUGCUACCGGGACACCUUCCUCCUCUGGGGCUUCACAUGCGCCGUCGGGACGGCGCUCUGCGCCGCCCUCUACGCGCGCUCCGGCAAGAGGAGCGGCGGUAACGAGGGACCAGAAGUUUCUGGUAGCGCAGGGGUGUAG